GACGAACGCUGGCGGCGUGCUUAACACAUGCAAGUCGAGCGGUAAGGCCCUUUUGGGGGUACACGAGCGGCGAACGGGUGAGUAACACGUGGGUGACCUGCCCUCAGCUCUGGGAUAAGCCUGGGAAACUGGGUCUAAUACUGGAUAUGACCUUUCCUCGCAUGGGGGUUGGGUGGAAAGUUUUUCGGCUGGGGAUGGGCCCGCGGCCUAUCAGCUUGUUGGUGGGGUGAUGGCCUACCAAGGCGACGACGGGUAGCCGGCCUGAGAGGGCGACCGGCCACACUGGGACUGAGACACGGCCCAGACUCCUACGGGAGGCAGCAGUGGGGAAGUAUUGCGCAAUGGGCGGAAGCCUGACGCAGCGACGCCGCGU
rnacentral:rRNA from 1 species